GUGGGGAAUAUUGGACAAUGGGCGAAAGCCUGAUCCAGCCAUGCCGCGUGUGUGAAGAAGGUCUUCGGAUUGUAAAGCACUUUAAGUUGGGAGGAAGGGUAGUAACCUAAUACGUUGCUACUUUGACGUUACCGACAGAAUAAGCACCGGCUAACUUCGUGCCAGCAGCCGCGGUAAUACGAAGGGUGCAAGCGUUAAUCGGAAUUACUGGGCGUAAAGCGCGCGUAGGUGGUUCAGUAAGUUGGAAGUGAAAUCCCCGGGCUCAACCUGGGAAAUGCUUUUAAAACUGCUGAGCUAGAGUACGGUAGAGGGUGGUGGAAUUUCCUGUGUAGCGGUGAAAUGCGUAGAUAUAGGAAGGAACACCAGUGGCGAAGGCGACCACCUGGACUGAUACUGACACUGAGGUGCGAAAGCGUGGGGAGCAAACAGGAUUAGAAACCCUAGUAGUCC
rnacentral:rRNA from 1 species